CAUAUUAAAGUUUAUUUUUGAAUUUUUCUUUUACAUUGAAAAGGACUCUUUGAGUGGUAUGAUAAUUAUAUUUUA
rnacentral:tRNA from 1 species